rnacentral:tRNA from 1 species
GGCUCCGUAGCUCAGCCUGGAUAGAGCGACUGCCUUCUAAGCAGUAGGUCGCAGGUUCAAAUCCUGUCGGAGCCA